AGUCGAGCGGCAGCACGGGUACUUGUACCUGGUGGCGAGCGGCGGACGGGUGAGUAAUGCCUAGGAAUCUGCCUGGUAGUGGGGGAUAACGCUCGGAAACGGACGCUAAUACCGCAUACGUCCUACGGGAGAAAGCAGGGGACCUUCGGGCCUUGCGCUAUCAGAUGAGCCUAGGUCGGAUUAGCUAGUUGGUGAGGUAAUGGCUCACCAAGGCGACGAUCCGUAACUGGUCUGAGAGGAUGAUCAGUCACACUGGAACUGAGACACGGUCCAGACUCCUACGGGAGGCAGCAGUGGGGAAUAUUGGACAAUGGGCGAAAGCCUGAUCCAGCCAUGCCGCGUGUGUGAAGAAGGUCUUCGGAUUGUAAAGCACUUUAAGUUGGGAGGAAGGGCAGUUACCUAAUACGUAUCUGUUUUGACGUUACCGACAGAAUAAGCACCGGCUAACUCUGUGCCAGCAGCCGCGGUAAU
rnacentral:rRNA from 1 species